GAACGCUGGCGGCGUGCUUAACACAUGCAAGUCGAACGGUGAACACGGAGCUUGCUCUGUGGGAUCAGUGGCGAACGGGUGAGUAACACGUGAGCAACCUGCCCCUGACUCUGGGAUAAGCGCUGGAAACGGCGUCUAAUACUGGAUAUGUGACGUGACCGCAUGGUCUGCGUCUGGAAAGAAUUUCGGUUGGGGAUGGGCUCGCGGCCUAUCAGCUUGUUGGUGAGGUAAUGGCUCACCAAGGCGUCGACGGGUAGCCGGCCUGAGAGGGUGACCGGCCACACUGGGACUGAGACACGGCCCAGACUCCUACGGGAGGCAGCAGUGGGGAAUAUUGCACAAUGGGCGCAGGCCUGAUGCAGCAACGCCGCGUGAGGGACGACGGCCUUCGGGUUGUAAACCUCUUUUAGCAGGGAAGAAGCGAAAGUGACGGUACCUGCAGAAAAAGCGCCGGCUAACUACGUGCCAGCAGCCGCGGUAAUACGUAGGGCGCAAGCGUUAUCCGGAAUUAUUGGGCGUAAAGAGCUCGUAGGCGGUUUGUCGCGUCUGCUGUGAAAUCCGGAGGCUCAACCUCCGGCCUGCAGUGGGUACGGGCAGACUAGAGUGCGGUAGGGGAGAUUGGAAUUCCUGGUGUAGCGGUGGAAUGCGCAGAUAUCAGGAGGAACACCGAUGGCGAAGGCAGAUCUCUGGGCCGUAACUGACGCUGAGGAGCGAAAGGGUGGGGAGCAAACAGGCUUAGAUACCCUGGUAGUCCACCCCGUAAACGUUGGGAACUAGUUGUGGGGUCCAUUCCACGGAUUCCGUGACGCAGCUAACGCAUUAAGUUCCCCGCCUGGGGAGUACGGCCGCAAGGCUA
rnacentral:rRNA from 1 species